rnacentral:rRNA from 1 species
CACAGCCACACCAUUAUGAAUGCACCCGAUCUCAGAAGCUAAGCAAGAGUGGGCCUGGGUAGUACUUGAUUGGGAGACCAUUUCCCAGACAGCCUCAGCUUUGC